CCUUGGAAGCACACUGGGCAGCUCUUGGUUCUCCAGAGGAAGAGGAUAAGGAUGAGGAUAAGGCAGGCAAGAGCUGCAGCUUUCUUCUCCCCUCGAUCCCCCAGCCAGGAGAGUUUUGCCAGCUCAGGAGCAGGGUAUGCGACAAAGGAAUUUGGACUUCUCUCUCUUUCUCCCUCCCUGCCUUGGCCUUCAGUGAUUCAAGGACCUGACCGGACCAGCCCCUAAUCCGAAGGAGCUCUCGGCAGUUUCUCCUUCAUCAGGGACAUUCCUGGUCUUGUGCAGGCAGAGGAGUGAGCAUCCCCGGCAUCUCCGAUGCAGAUAAACCCAACUUGCAGAAUAUGAAGGACUUCAGGUCCAUUUAAAUACUUAUUUGCUAACACAAAAGCGAGUGCCCCAGUAAUUUAAUAUGCUUCUGGAAGUAAUUGGAUAGAAGUUCUUUGUUUCUUUUCCUCCUGUCAGAUUCCAUUUGUUUAAUUUGGCUGUCGUGACACAAAGUGACAGUGCCCAUGCUCCAUUUCUGCAGAUAGCAAAACUCCGGGAUUCUUCUUUCUGCAUUGCUAGAAAUUUAUGUAUUCUCCCCAUUCACUCGUACAUCACUACUGUGGCAGAUUACUGACCCCCUUAAGAAUAAAUGCAUUUUAAUACAGCUGACCCAGAAACCUCCCAAAGGGGAGAUAAAGCGUAGCUCCGAGAACCAGCUGAAUUUGCUGUAGCUUAGAGAAGAAUCAGAGAAGGGUCUGGAGCUGGCACUGGCUCGCUGCCACGCCAUUUCCUAUUAACAAGCCUCCCUCCAUGUCAACAUUUCCUGCUGCUCAAAGCCAUCUCGUCCUAGGGCUGCGCCCACUCGUCUCUGGGGGAAAGGAGACUUUCACGCAGGGCUUUCUGCAACGUUUUUCUGGAGGCAGAGAGGUAGGGCAAGACCAGCCUGCAUCCCUCUGCAGAGCAAGCAACAGGGCUGUCCCAGAGACUGGGCACGGCAAAAUUCAAGGACAGGCACCCCUUCAAGCUCAGCGUCUGCAGGGGUGAGAAGGGGAGGGACAGAGCUGUCUGCAGGGGUCGGGGAGGUGUAUGGCACGUGACGCCUCCCGUUGCGUUAGCCUGGCUGGCAAUGUUCCUGGCAUUUCUCUUUAAAGAUAAUUUCUCAGAAGAAAGGAAAGACACCAUGAAAUUGCAGAUUCCAGCUUGUUUG